UGGGAGCUCCAGUAACAUCCUAAAGUAAAUAUGCACCAAAAGCAUUAUUUACCAAAAGUAAUUUUGGUGCAUAUUUACUUUAGGAUGUUACUAGAGCUCAUCCA
ensembl:miRNA